GAACGCUGGCGGCAUGCCUAACACAUGCAAGUCGAACGGAUGGCUUCGGCCAUUAGUGGCGCACGGGUGAGUAGCGCGUGGGAACCUGCCCUGAAGUUCGGAAUAACCUCGGGAAACUGAGGCUAAUACCGGAUAUAGCCUGAGGGCGAAAGAUUUAUCGCUUUGGGAGGGGCCCGCGUCCGAUUAGGUAGUUGGUGAGGUAACGGCUCACCAAGCCUUCGAUCGGUAGCUGGUCUGAGAGGAUGAUCAGCCACACUGGGACUGAGACACGGCCCAGACUCCUACGGGAGGCAGCAGUGGGGAAUAUUGGACAAUGGGGGCAACCCUGAUCCAGCAAUGCCGCGUGAGUGAAGAAGGC
rnacentral:rRNA from 1 species